rnacentral:rRNA from 1 species
CGGUAAUUCCAGCUCCAAUAGCGUAUGUUAAAGUUGUUGCGGCUAAAAAGCUCGUAGUUGGAUUUCUGUUGAAGACGUCCGGUCCGCUCUAUGAGCGUGCAUCUGGUAUGGCUUUGGCAUCCGCACUAUACACGUGUCUGCGCUUGAUUGCGUGGCGCGGGGGUAGUGCCUUUUACUUUGAGGAAAUUAGAGUGUUCACGGCAGGCUUUCGCCUUGAAUAUAUUAGCAUGGAAUAAUAACAUAGGAUCUUGGUUCUAUUUUGUUGGUUUCUAGGGCUGAGAUAAUGAUUAAUAGGGACAAUUGGGGGCAUUCGUAUUGCGGUGUCAGAGGUGGAAUUCUUGGAUUACUGCACGACGAACUACUGCGAAAGCAUUUGCCAAGGAUGUUUUCAUUGAUCAAGAACGAAAGUAGGGGGAUCGAAGACGAUUAGAUACCGUCGUAGUCUUUACCAUAAACUAUGCCAACUAGAGAUGAGGCGUCGUUCUUAUAUGACUCGCUUCGCACCUUAUGAGAAAUCAAAGUUUUUGGGUUCCGGGGGGAGUAUGGUCGCAAGGCUGAAACUUAAAGGAAUUGACGGAAGGGCACCACCAGGAGUGGAGCCUGCGGCUUAAUUUGACUCAACACGGGGAAACUCACCAGGUCCAGACAUAGUAAGGAUUGACAGAUUGAUAGCUCUUUCUUGAUUUUAUGGGUGGUGGUGCAUGGCCGUUCUUAGUUGGUGGAGUGAUUUGUCUGCUUAAUUGCGUUAACGAACGAGACCUUAACCUGCUAAAUAGUCGGACCUAUCUCCGGAUAGAUCCCUGACUUCUUAGAGGGACUUUGUGUUUUUAAGCGCAAGGAAGUUUGAGGCAAAAACAGGUCUGUGAUGCCCUUAGAUGUUCUGGGCUGCACGCGCGCCACACUGAUGCGUUCCACGUGUCUACAACCUUAGCCGAUAGGCUUGGGUAAUCAUUUGAACACGCAUCGUGAUGGGGCUUGAUUAUUGCAAUUAUUAAUCAUAAACGAGGAAUUCCUAGUAGUGGCGCAUCAUCAGUGCGUCGCGAUUACGUCCCUGCCCCUUGUACACACCGCCC